CCCAGGAAUCAAACAUAUUACCU
rnacentral:miRNA from 1 species